rnacentral:rRNA from 1 species
UUUGGAUAACUGUGGUAAUCCUAGAGCUAAUACAUGCAAUCAAGUCCCGACCAGUUCCACUGGGAAGGACGCUUUUAUUAGAUCAAGACCAAUCGCCCAGCUUCGGUUGGGCGUCGCCUUGGUGACUCUAGGUAACACAUCAGAUCGCACGGUCUCGCACCGGCGACUCAUCCUUCAAAUGCCUGACUUAUCAACUGACGAUGGUAGACUCCAUGUCUACCAUGGUGAUAACGGGUAACGGGGAAUCAGGGUUCGAUUCCGGAGAGGGAGCCUGAGAAACGGCUACCACAUCCAAGGAAGGCAGCAGGCACGCAAAUUACCCACUCCCGGCACGGGGAGGUAGUGACAAAAAAUAACGAUACGGGACUCAAUUGAGGCCCCGUAAUCGGAAUGAGUACACUUUAAAUCCUUUAACAAGGAUCCAUUGGAGGGCAAGUCAGGUGCCAGCAGCCGCGGUAAUUCCUGCUCCAAUAGCGUAUAUUAAAGUUGUUGCGGUUAAAAAGCUCGUAGUUGGUUCUGCGUGCCACGCUGUCGGUUCGCCGCCUGCCGGUGCUACUGGCAUGUCGUGGCAUGUCCUGUCGGUGGGUGUUCGGGGCCCCGUGCGGGCGACAGGAGGCCGGAUGCAAAUCCGUGCUCCUCCCUGCACGUCGGCGGGUUCACUCCGGCUCCCUACUAUCCUACCUAGGUGCUCUUCACCGAGUGUCGAGGUAGGCCGACACGUUUACUUUGAACAAAUCAGAGUGCUUAAAGCACGCUGAAAAAUUCUGCCUGAAUGAUGGCGCAUGGAAUAAUAAAACAGGACCUUGGUUUCUAUUUUGUUGGUUCUUAGGAACACAAGGUAAUGAUCAAUAAGGACAGGCGGGGGCAUUCGUAUUGCGUCCUCCGAUGAGGCGGGGCCGGGAAACCAAAGCUUUUGGGUUCCGGGGGAAGGUAUGGUUGCAAAGCUGAAACUUAAAGGAAUUGACGGAAGGGCACCACCAGGAGUGGAGCCUGCGGCUUAAUUUGACUCAACACGGGAAACCUCACCAGGUCAGGACAUUGUAAGGAUUGACAGAUUGAUAGCUCUUUCUUGAUUCAGUGGGUAGUGGUGCAUGGCCGUUCUUAGUUGGUGGAUCGAUUUGUCUGGUUAAUUCCGAUAACGAACGAGACUCUAGCCUAUUAACUAGACGAUCCGAGAGCCCACGUCUCUCGCGACAAUCACUCUUCUUAAGGGGACAGGCGGCUUAUAGUCGCACGAGAUUGAGCAAUAACAGGUCUGUGAUGCCCUUAGAUGUCCUGGGCCGCACGCGCGCUACAAUGAAAGAAUCAGCGUGUGUCUCCCUGCCCGAGAGGGCUGGGUAAUCCGCUGAACCUCUUUCGUGCUUGGGAUUGUAGCUUGCAAUUGUUCUUCAUGAACGAGGAAUUCCCAGUAAGCGCGAGUCAUAAGCUCGCGUUGAUUACGUCCCUGCCCUUUGUACACACCGCCCGUCGCUACUACCGAUUGAAUGAUUUAGUGAGGUCUUCGGACCGGCGGGAAAUCCCUAUCGCUCCGGCGGUAUCGACGAACGCUGGGAAGAUGACCAAACUUGAUCAUUUAGAGGAAGUAAAAGUCGUAACAAGGUUUCC